rnacentral:rRNA from 1 species
UACGUAGGGGGCAAGCGUUGUCCGGAUUUAUUGGGCGUAAAGAGCGUGUAGGCGGCCAGGUAGGUCAGCUGUGAAAACUCGAGGCUCAACCUCGAGCUGUCGGCUGAAACCAUCUGGCUAGAGUCCGGAAGAGGCGAGUGGAAUUCCUGGUGUAGCGGUGAAAUGCGCAGAUAUCAGGAGGAACACCAAUUGCGAAGGCAGCUCGCUGGGACGUUACUGACGCUGAGACGCGAAAGCGUGGGGAGCAAACAGG